GGGAUGUGUAAAUAUUUCUACCGAUAUGUCUCCGACCGCGGACUUUCUCUUUUUUUUUAUUGGGAACACACAUUAGUAUGUCACAGGGGUGGAUCCAGGUUUAAAUACUAGGGGGCGAAACAAUGACAAGUAUAUGCUAAAAAAAGAGAAAAGUGCAUGUUUAGGGGGCGUAUGCCGGGUCCGACCCUCCCCCAUUUUUUCUUCCAUCUGAAUCCGCGCCUGUGUCAUACACAAUUUAAAGAUCUAUACACAAUAAAUCGGAUAUAAUGCUGUCAUGAUACUAAAGAACUAUUAUAUAUUAAUUUACCCGGAUCCAUAUUAUCCGUGGAUUCUGCAGUGACUGUCUUUCUUUUUUUAAUAAGAUAUUUGUCCAUGAUUUCCAAUUUUGGAUCGUUAACAACUUUUUACAAAUUUAUAAUACCAUUGACGGGCG
rnacentral:lncRNA from 1 species